rnacentral:rRNA from 1 species
UACGUAGGGGGCUAGCGUUGUCCGGAAUCAUUGGGCGUAAAGCGCGCGUAGGCGGCCCAGUAAGUCCGUUGUAAAAGUCAAAGGCUCAACCUUUGAAAGCCGAUGGAUACUGCUGGGCUAGAGUCCGGAAGAGGAGAGUGGAAUUCCUGGUGGUAGCGGUGAAAUGCGCAGAUAUCAGGAAGAACACCGGUGGCGAAGGCGGCGUCUCGUGGGCCU